UACGGAGGGUGCAAGCGUUAUCCGGAUUCACUGGGUUUAAAGGGAGCGCAGGCGGAUUUGUAAGUCAGUGGUGAAAGGCUUAAGCUUAACUUGGGAACUGCCAUUGAUACUAUAGGUCUUGAAUUUUCUGGAGGUCAGCGGAAUAUGUCAUGUAGCGGUGAAAUGCUUAGAUAUGACAUAGAACACCAAUUGCGAAGGCAGCUGGCUACAGGGAUAUUGACACUGAGGCACGAAAGCGUGGGGAUCAAACAGG
rnacentral:rRNA from 1 species